rnacentral:lncRNA from 1 species
UGCGUUUGGGAGAUGAAAGGUCCUUGUCUUCAACAUGAUGCCAGCCAGGGAUCAUCUCUGCGGGAAGCGCCACUGGUAGUGUCACCUCCGUCCCCUGCCUGACACCGUCUCUGCCGGGCUUCUCCACCACAGGCGUCCUGCCGCCCUCUCCCCGUGCUCUAGACUUCCCAAGCCAGACACCGGUUCAGCUCACGCUCAGGUGGGGUUAAGCCGUUUCCCGGAGGGACGGGCAUCUACAGAGGACUUAACCUUCUUCUUGUAGGGAAGUAGGGCGGCUGUAUCAUCACCCUGGAAAGAACACGGGUCCUACUGAUAAGGAAGUCGGGGAGCACGGAUAUUAUCCCCUCGGCCGUGAAUGGAGAUGAGCCACAUUUGCCUUACGCAUGCCGGAGCGCGGGCUUUCCGAGGACGAGCGCCCUCCACUCGGCUUCCCCACCAUCCCACGAGACGCCUUUGAACCUGAACCCCUUGCCCCACAUUACUUCCUCCGGUGAAACCGCUCAGUCGCU